GCUAAUGAUCGUGUCUAUUGGUUUUUAUUUAUUAACUUGUAAGUCAUUAAAUGUGACAUAAAAGAGACUCGUAACAAUGCAAUUUCUUAUGAAUGUACAAGUAAAGGGAGUGCCAAUUUUAUACCAGAAGAAUUGCAGUCUCUUCGACAUUAUGAGUUUAUUUCAUUUGAAUAUAAGGAAAAUGCAGUUGCUCUGGCAGAAAUGCAUCCAAAAUGGAUAUUAAAACUCUGCAAAGGAAAGGCUGCAGCCAUUUGAAAAGCAAGAAAAUGCUGCGUGGGUGAAAAGAAUACGUGAUGCGAGGCAGAACAGUGAUAGAUAAAUGGAACUACAUAUGAAACGCAGACCUUCCAAAAGUUCCAAGAAGUUAGACAGAGGCUUGAGCAGGUACAAUUUUAUAAAAUAUGUUUAUUACAGAAUUAGAGAUUUAUCAAAUUACAUUACCAUUUGUUUUCAGGUCACAACUCGAACUUUGCAGCCGUGGGCGAUGAUAAUGUCUUUCCCACUGUUAACUGAAGAAUACAAAUUCUCUGCCAGCCUUCGUUGGGUCAACAGAUUCAAACAAAAGUAUAAUAUAAGGCAGAGAAAUAUAA
rnacentral:lncRNA from 1 species